rnacentral:rRNA from 1 species
UACAGAGGUCUCAAGCGUUGUUCGGAUUCAUUGGGCGUAAAGGGUGCGUAGGCGGCGCGGUAAGUCGGGUGUGAAAUUUCGGAGCUUAACUCCGAAACUGCAUUCGAUACUGGCGUGCUUGAGGACUGGAGAGGAGACUGGAAUUCAUGGUGUAGCAGUGAAAUGCGUAGAGAUCAUGAGGAAGACCAGUGGCGAAGGCGGCGACCUGGAAGGUAACUGACACUGAGCAGCGAAAGCGUGGGUAGCAAACAGG